GUGCUUAACACAUGCAAGUCGUACGAGAAAUCAUUAGCUUGCUAAUGAGAGUAAAGUGGCGAACGGGUGAGUAACGCGUGGGUAAUCUACCCUUGAAUCGGGAAUAAUUUGUCGAAAGAUGGACUAAUACCGGAUAAUAUCCAUUUGACUUAGGUUUUUUGGAUUAAAGGCGGCCUCUUAUUAAAGCUGUCGUUUGAGGAUGAGCCCGCGUGCCAUUAGCUUGUUGGUGGGGUAAAAGCCUACCAAGGCUGCGAUGGUUAGCUGGUCUGAGAGGAUGAUCAGUCACACUGGAACUGAGACACGGUCCAGACUCCUACGGGAGGCAGCAGUGAGGAAUUUUGCGCAAUGGGGGCAACCCUGACGCAGCAACGCCGCGUGAGUGAGGAAGGGUUUCGGCUCGUAAAGCUCUGUCAAGUGGGAAGAAACCAAUAACGGUUAAUACCCGUUAUUGCUGACGGUACCACUGAAGGAAGCACCGGCUAACUCCGUGCCAGCAGCCGCGGUAAUACGGAGGGUGCAAGCGUUAUUCGGAAUUAUUGGGCGUAAAGGGCGCGUAGGCGGCCGUUUAAGUCAGAUGUGAAAUCCCGAAGCUUAACUUCGGAAGUGCAUUUGAAACUAAGCGGCUUGAGUAUGGUAGAGGGAGACGGAAUUCCUGGUGUAGAGGUGAAAUUCGUAGAUAUCAGGAGGAACACCAGUGGCGAAGGCGGUUUCCUGGGCCAAUACUGACGCUGAGGCGCGAAGGCGUGGGUAGCGAACAGGAUUAGAUACCCUGGUAGUCCACGCAGUAAACGUUGAUCACUAGGUGUAGCGGUUUAUUCUGCUGUGCCGGAGUUAACGCAUUAAGUGAUCCGCCUGGGGAGUACGGACGCAAGUUUAAAACUCAAAGGAAUUGACGGGGGCCCGCACAAGCGGUGGAGCAUGUGGUUCAAUUCGACGCAACGCGAAGAACCUUACCUGGAUUUGACAUCUCGGGAAUUUUUAUGAAAAUAGAAAGUGCCCUUUUGGGAACCCGAAGACAGGUGCUGCAUGGCUGUCGUCAGCUCGUGUCUGAGAUGUUUGGUUAAGUCCAGCAACGAGCGCAACCCUUAUCUUUAGUUACCAGCGAGUUAUGUCGGGGACUCUAUAGAUACUGCCCCGGUUAACGGGGAGGAAGGUGGGGAUGACGUCAAGUCCUCAUGGCCUUUAUGUUCAGGGCUACACACGUGCUACAAUGGGCAGUACAAAGGGCAGCAAACCCGUAAGGGUAAGCCAAUCCCAAAAAGCUGUUCUCAGUUCGGAUUGGAGUCUGCAACUCGACUCCAUGAAGUUGGAAUCGCUAGUAAUCGCGGAUCAGCAUGCCGCGGUGAAUACGUUCCCGGGCCUUGUACACACCGCCCGUCACACCAUGAGAGUCAGCUGUACCAGAAGUUGCGGGGCUAAC
rnacentral:rRNA from 1 species